rnacentral:rRNA from 1 species
AGGCAGCAGUGGGGAAUAUUGCACAAUGGGGGAAACCCUGAUGCAGCCAUGCCGCGUGUGUGAAGAAGGCCUUCGGGUUGUAAAGCACUUUCAGUAGGGAGGAAGGUAGUGUAGUUAACACCUGCACUAUUUGACGUUACCUACAGAAGAAGCACCGGCUAACUCCGUGCCAGCAGCCGCGGUAAUACGGAGGGUGCGAGCGUUAAUCGGAAUUACUGGGCGUAAAGCGCAUGCAGGCGGCCUGUUAAGUCAGAUGUGAAAGCCCGGGGCUUAACCUCGGAAUUGCAUUUGAAACUGGCAGGCUAGAGUCUUGUAGAGGGGGGUAGGAAUUUCAGGUGUAGCGGUGAAAUGCGUAGAGAUCUGAAGGAAUACCAGUGGCGAAGGCGGCCCCCUGGACAAAGACUGACGCUCAGAUGCGAAAGCGUGGGGAGCAAACAGGAUUAGAUACCCUGGGAG